rnacentral:rRNA from 1 species
UGUCCUACGGGGCGCAGCAGUGGGGAAUAUUGCACAAUGGGGGAAACCCUGAUGCAGCGACGCCGCGUGAAGGAUGAAGUAUUUCGGUAUGUAAACUUCUAUCAGCAGGGAAGAAAAUGACGGUACCUGACUAAGAAGCCCCGGCUAACUACGUGCCAGCAGCCGCGGUAAUACGUAGGGGGCAAGCGUUAUCCGGAUUUACUGGGUGUAAAGGGAGCGUAGACGGCAGUGCAAGUCUGGAGUGAAAGGCGGGGGCUCAACCCCCGGACUGCUCUGGAAACUGUACGGCUGGAGUGCAGGAGAGG